GACGCUCACUUAGUUGUCAUGCGUUGUGCGGUUGUGGUGGUGUCCGACUCCGAAUCCGACAGCGAUUGAAUACGAGAAUAUUUUGUAACUUUGAAUAAACCGUUUUUUUUUCAACUUCAUCCCAGUUUCCUUUUGUGCGAUUUAUUUCAGUCCUUCAACUUCAAUGUUACGGUUUCGGGUAAAUUCUUUGUUAAUUAUCAUCUAAUAAAUUCAGGGUCGCAACGUAUUCAUUGGUUUGUAACAGAGAAUUCAAGAUGCCUCAAUACGAUUUUUAAAUGAUAUCUGAGUAUCGAAAAGUUGUCUGAUAGAGAAGGUGCUACACUUAAUUUGUCUGAUAUAAAUUUUUUGCACAUGUGGACAACUUAUUUUAUCAUGUCCAACAAUUUUCAGACAUAUUGCUAUGAUACCGAUCGGUAAAAUUUGUUAACAUUUUCAAAACGAUCUCAAAAUUUAAUGCGUUCACAUUUCCGUCUGAAAAUUGUUUUGUUCGCAUCAAAUAACCAAAAUUUACUAAUAAAAAAGAUUUUCAGACGUAUUGCUAUGAGACAUUUUUUUUUGUCUCAUUUUUAAUUUUUUUAAGUGAUUUUACGGGUUUGCGCUACACCACUAACGUCUGAAAAAUAUGUUUCCGGUAUCUCAGAACUAUCAUUCAACUACAGUCUGCAAAUCAGACAUAUUGCUAUGAUGCAGUUCGGUAAAAUUCUUUGACAAUUUUGAAAAUUCGGUCAGAUCAAACGCUACGCGGAAAAUGUCUGAUAUUGGUAUUUUCGAGUUCAGGAUAAUCGUAUCUAUCGAUUUGAUGCGGUUUUGGCUGUAUUGCUAUGAGACAAAAAUUUUGGUCGUGGGCUCUUGUACUAAUUGUGCUACAUGGUGUUUAACUGUUUAUAUCAAGUGAUGGAGUAAAACGGCUGAACGCUCGCUUCGCUAAUGCUAUGGCGUAGACAUAAAAGUUUUACAUUGAUAAUAGUUAUCGAACUCGUAAAACAGUCACUGGGGUAGGCAAACGUGUUCAUUUAUCAAUUUUGUUCUCCAAUUAACCCUUAGUGUGACUGGUGUGCGCCAUAAUGAUAUUUGCUUUACCUAAUUUUUUUUCUACGUUACGUAACAAAACACAAAUUAAUCUUGAAAGAUUAAUUAAUCCGCGGUGUAAAAUUUAAUGGCGCGCUGAACUAUUCAACUUGAUUUUCCAAUUAGUCAUAACUGAGAAAAAUGUCAAGCAUAAUAGUCUACUUGACGUUUGCUUGUCUUUUUUCGGCAUGUAACGUAUUUGCCUUGAGUAACUACACAAUGAGAUACCCCAUACUUUUCAGACAUUACGUUGUGGGUAAAUUAUCCGAACGAGGAAGAGAAGUUUUUAUGGAUUUUUCAAACACCGUAUCAUGUAAACAAAAGGCUGGCUAUUGUAUCGAGAGAGAACAUUGUUUGGCUGAGAAAAAAAUGUACUUCACCGGUGGUUGCAACUAUCAUGAUUUAGUAUGUUGCUAUGAGGACGAAAUAUGGAAAUGAAAAUGUUUUCAUUGCUCUAAGACAAUUUGUUGUAACUA